rnacentral:rRNA from 1 species
CCUACGGGAGACAGCAGUGGGGGAUAUUGCACAAUGGGGGAAACCCUGAUGCAGCGACGCCGCGUGUGGGAAGACGGUCCUCUGGAUUGUAAACCACUGUCCCCAGGGACGAAGAUGACGGUACCUGGGGAGGACGCUCCGGCUAACUACGUACCAGCAGCCGCGGUAAUACGUAGGGCGCGAGCUUUGUCCGGAAUUACUGCGUGUAAAGGGUGCGUAGGCGGGGAUGCAAGUUGGGUGUCAAAACGACCGGCUCAGAUGGUAGGAGCACUCAAAACUGCAGCUCAGGACUGAAGUAGAGGCAGGCGGAAUUCCUAGUGUAGCGGUGAAAUGCGUAGAUAUUAGGAAGAACACCAGUUGCGAAGGCGGCCUGCUGGGCUUUUACUGACGCUGAGGCUCGAAAGUGUGGGGAGCAAACAGGAUUAGAUACCCGUGUAGUC